CUAUUUAAACCUGCUGCUCCCAGUUUCAGCCGCUGAGUCGGCGCGGAGCCGCUGCAGGUGUUGUGGCUCUGGCGGAGGCCGCUUUGGAUAACGGUUGUGCGCGCGGGUUGCUCAUCCCGUGGCUGACCCCUUCCCCCGCAGCAGGGGCGGGCUUCUGCGGUUCGGCGGGUGGGGAAGGAGGAGGAGGGGUCCCCCUCUUGCAGGGCGGGCGUGAGGGUCUGUGGUACCCGUUGGAUGCGCUCCCGGCGCCCGGGGCAGAAGGGGGCCGGAGGGAAGCGUUGCCUCGCCGCUGCCUAAGAGGAUUUACUACGUCUCGGACUCCGCCUGGCGCCGGUGCCGCCGCCGCCCGCUGCCGUGUGUGCAGGUCCCCCCGGCGCGCGGGAAGCGGAGAUGGACGAGAAGUACCUGCCCGAGCUGAUGGCGGAGAAGGACUCGCUGGACCCCUCCUUCACCCAUGCGCUGCGGCUGGUGAACCAAGAAAUUGAGAAAUUCCAAAAAGGGGAAGGAAAGGAAGAGGAAAAGUAUAUUGAUGUAGUGAUAAAUAAAAAUAUGAAGCUGGGGCAGAAAGUAUUAAUUCCAGUGAAACAAUUUCCUAAGUUCAACUUUGUGGGAAAACUUUUGGGUCCACGUGGCAAUUCACUGAAACGUUUACAGGAAGAAACAUUGACAAAAAUGUCUAUAUUGGGAAAAGGCUCCAUGAGGGACAAAGCCAAGGAAGAAGAGUUGAGAAAAAGUGGGGAAGCAAAAUACUUCCAUCUAAAUGAUGACCUGCAUGUUCUAAUUGAAGUAUUUGCCCCACCAGCAGAGGCAUAUGCCAGAAUGGGACAUGCUUUGGAAGAAAUCAAGAAGUUCCUUAUCCCUGACUACAAUGAUGAAAUCAGACAGGCACAGCUUCAAGAAUUAACAUAUUUGAAUGGUGGUUCAGAAAAUGCAGAAGUUCCAGUUGCACGUGGAAAACCACCAAUACGAGCACGAGGAGUACCAGUCCCUGCUUUGGCCAGGGGCCGUGGAGGAGUGCCACCCCCACCAGCAGGUGUACCAAGAGGGGCACCAGCUCCCAGGGGAGUACCUUCCAGUAGAGGUCCAGUCAGUCGUGGUCGUGGACUUCUAGCCCCCCGAGCAAGAGGAGUACCUCUACCUGCAGGCUACCGGCCUCUGCCACCACCUCCAGCGCAGGAGACAUAUGGAGAAUAUGAGUAUGAUGAUGGAUAUGGCACUGCUUAUGAUGAGCAGGGCUACGACUCCUAUGAUAACAGCUAUAGCACCCAGGCACAAAGUGGAACAGAUUACUAUGAUUAUGGACAUGGACUUAGUGAGGAAACAUAUGAUUCAUAUGGGCAAGAAGAAUGGACCAACUCAAGACACAAGGCACCUUCAGCACGGACAACAAAGGGAAUCUACAGAGACCAGCCAUAUGCCAGAUACUGAUUGUACUGUCUGAUGUUGUGAAAUAUCCAAUCUCCACCAGUCCUGUAUACUGUUCCAAGAAACACUAAACGUCUUGGGGAGCCAAGAGAACAAAAACCUACAUAUGUUGAUGCUUUGGGACUUCUGUCAUGAUUAUUAUGGACUUCUUAGACUAUUAUGUUCACCAAUGUGCCUAGUCAACGAUGAAAUCAGCUUUGGAAUUUGAAAAUGCAGUUCUGUUUCCCUUCAGUAUUUUACGUACUGUAGUACUAAAGUGUAUCAUAUUAUAUCCUUUAUUUUUAACAACUGCUAUAAAAGCCCUUAAUUGUUUAAUGACUUAACAAUGUUAUUUAUGUAGAAGUCAAUAAAGAAUCUCCAUUUAAAUCUCCAGUACAAAGCAAUAAUGCAUCCUUAUGUUCCUUCAGUGGCUUUGUAAUUCCUACACAGCAGCUAUGAGCGAACCUUGUGUGGAGUUUUAUGACUAGACCCACAGUUCACUUUUGGACGUGCUUUAUCUACUGCAUGGACAAGUAAACAUAAAAACAAGUGUGCUACACAGAAGCUAUUGUAUUGCUCAUAGGCUAAGUGUAAACAGAGGUGCCUGAAGUAAGACUGAUUAAUAGAGAGAGAACAAACCCAAUUUCAAUUUCCUUCAAUAAUUUGUUUAUAGAACAUGAAGGUCAUAAUCACUGUGGACAGUAUUAUAUUGGUUUCAGAGUGGUAGCCAUGUUAGUCUGUAUUAGCAAAAACAACCAGGAAUCCUUGUGGCACCUUAGAGACUAAAAAAAUUUAUCUGGGCAUAAACUUUCGUGGUCUAGAACCCACUUCAUCAGAUGCAUCAGUGUUUUUGUAUUAUAUUGUUCAUUCUCUUUCACUUACUCCAUGGUAUAUUGUGAUUAUAAUUUUACAUCUACAGAAGUAUCUUCUCUACUCUUAUAAUAUAAGGUCACAUCUUUUCCAGUGAAAGGAAUUUCAAUCUAGUUUUUAUGUCUUGAUAAAUUUGCACUCUUGUUCCUGGUAGACCUGUUUCCUCAAUGCUUUUUCAUUUUUAUAUUAGACCUUAUUGUGAUAAUUUGUAACACAAAUAUACUUCUGGUAAUUUAACCUGUUCUUACUGCAAAUCCAACUGCUUUCCACCCAUGCUUCAGAAAUUUACUUCCAUCAGAUGCAUUUUCCUUUCUGAUAGUUAUUGAAACUCAACAAAUUCAGCCAGUGUGCAUGCUGGUUAAUCCAUUUCGAUACUGAGGC